CCUACGGGAGGCAGCAGUGGGGAAUAUUGGGCAAUGGAGGAAACUCUGACCCAGCAACGCCGCGUGAAUGAUGAAGGUCUUCGGAUUGUAAAGUUCUUUUCUAAGGGAAGAAGAAAGUGACGGUAUCUUAGGAAUAAGCCGCGGCUAACUACGUGCCAGCAGCCGCGGUAAUACGUAGGAGGCGAGCUUUAUCCGGAAUGACUGGGCGUAAAGGGUGCGGAGGUGGUUGGGCAAGUUAGUAGCGUACCCCCAAGGCUCAACCUUGGAACUGCUACUAAAACUGUUGGACUGGAGUGCAGGAGAGGCAACCGGAAUGCCUAGUGUAGCGGUGGAAUGCGUAGAUAUUAGGAGGAACACCAGUGGCGAAGGCGGGUUGCUAGACUGUAACUGACGCUGAGGCACGAAAGCGUGGGGAGCAAACAGGAUUAGAUACCCGGGUAGUC
rnacentral:rRNA from 1 species